UAUGAACGCUGGCGGCGUGCCUAAUACAUGCAAGUCGAGCGAACAGACGAGGAGCUUGCUCCUCUGACGUUAGCGGCGGACGGGUGAGUAACACGUGGAUAACCUACCUAUAAGACUGGGAUAACUUCGGGAAACCGGAGCUAAUACCGGAUAAUAUAUUGAACCGCAUGGUUCAAUAGUGAAAGACGGUUUUGCUGUCACUUAUAGAUGGAUCCGCGCCGCAUUAGCUAGUUGGUAAGGUAACGGCUUACCAAGGCGACGAUGCGUAGCCGACCUGAGAGGGUGAUCGGCCACACUGGAACUGAGACACGGUCCAGACUCCUACGGGAGGCAGCAGUAGGGAAUCUUCCGCAAUGGGCGAAAGCCUGACGUAGCAACGCCGCGUGAGUGAUGAAGGUCUUCGGAUCGUAAAACUCUGUUAUUAGGGAAGAACAAAUGUGUAAGUAACUAUGCACGUCUUGACGGUACCUAAUCAGAAAGCCACGGCUAACUACGUG
rnacentral:rRNA from 1 species